CAGGACCCCAUACAGCCGCCUAUAUGUCUUGCAGUAAGUCCAGCCCUGGCAGAACCAGAGUGUCUUACUUUAAGACUCAAAGCCAAAAUGAUUGUGGAAAUAAAGGAAAGGUGCUGUAUUGGACUGAGAUCCGGCUACUGCAGAGGCUGAGUACAGUGAGGUCAUUGUCACGUUCAAGAAGGCAGUCUGAGAUGAUAUGAGCUCUGCGACAUGGCAUGCUGCUGGAAGUAGCCAUUAGAAGCUGGGUACACUGUGGUCAUAAAGGGAUGGAUCUGGUCAGUAACAAUACUCAGGCUAUAAAACUUGACUAUUCCAUAAACUGCCAGUGAAAAGUGGAAGCAGAUUUUUGUACACGCAUUAGCCACGGGUGGCUAACCAGAAGCAGACUGGGUUACCGCAAGGAAAAGUAGGCAAGUAAAAAAAGGAAGAAUUACCAUAAUUUUAAUUUCUUCCAUAUGUUGUUAUGCAUAAAAAGACCUAAAAUGAACACUGUAAACGGAUUGCUUGAUUACUAUAAGCAAAUUUCUGAAACAGUAUCUGUCCCAGAAUUAUUCUGUCCCAAGCUUUUUGAUCCAUAUAAGCGUUUGAUCACUAUAAUCGUGAUCUCUAUAAGCGGUUUACACUGUAUUUUAAAUAUUGCUAGUGCUGAAACCGAUUGGUGGUAUAACCUUUGGUGACGGAAACUGUUUUUCCGCAGUGUUGACAUUUGACCUUUUUGAUCAGUGCCGUCUUCACUAAGAGCCACAAUGUGUCCAGAUGAUAGACACAGACUGUUUUCUUUGGUACAAGCGGCUGGAGUAACUCAGUCGGCUCAGUGUUUAAACCCCCCUCAGUAGUAUUUUUUAAGGGAACAAUACAUGGACACCCACUGGGGAAAGUAUUAACAGAAUUUUAAAAAUUACAGGUUCUGAAUGUCAUGUUUGAUUAAUUUUUGAUGAAUUGCAGCAGCCUUGCCCUUUAAAUAUAAAGCACAUUAAUUAUAGUCGUCUGUCAUUUAGGCUAGAAAAGUCUUAUUUGGCUCUAUAUGCAUUAAAAAAUAUUAAAUAGCUGUAACAGCAAUGCGUUUAAAUUGGUUACUUCACACAGUCCAAAUACAUUCAAUCAAUUUGUGACUAAAUUUCUCACAGUAUGUGAACAUGUGAGUGAAUUUAUGUAUAUGUGAUGGGGCAUGAAAAUGAAGAAGUGUCAAUAAAACCAGUGUCAUGCAACAAAUUGUUUUACAAUAUUAAUUUGUCACAUUCAUGCUGCUUAAUGUCACUGUGGAUGUGAACGUAGCUAAUUAAGUUUCCACUCCUGCCUUCAGUAUCCCUGUCAUUUCCUGGCUUGUAAAUGUCUUAGGUUUAGGGAUCUUCCUGUUUAACACAUUGGAAAUAUAUAGAAAACAAAUGAGCAAUUGAAGUUAAGCUUACAAUUAAGCUUUGAGUGUUUUGUGCUGCUUCCAUAUUACCUGUCAUAUUUCCUGUAAGACUUGCCCUGUCGGGUGGCGUGUCCAGGUGUUUUGUUGUCUUAUUCUGCACAUUGAGUGCAGAUCAUCAUCAAACGUCUAACAGGGAUGUUACCACAGGAAACAAAGGACUGAAAAUGAGGGAUGUAUUAACAUUGGCCUCUGGGCUCUUUGAA